GUGGAAACAUUGGUCCCCAUACAAUCACUGAAAUUAAGAAAUGUCAAGCCUGGUCAGUACCUAGAUGGGUGACCACUUGGGAAUACCAGGUGCUGUAAG